rnacentral:lncRNA from 10 species
GGAAGAAGCUCAAUCAUAGACAGUUUAAGCAACCUGCUCAAGCUCAAGAUCACACAGCUAGUAAGUAGGACUGUAUACAGUGAAAGAAGAAGAAAAAGAAUGAAAUCCUGAUGUACAUGAAAAUUGAAGAGAGAUCAGAAGUUCCCAUGAAAGAAACAGAUAAGAGUUAAUCCAGGAGAGUGUGAUUUCACAGAAGCCAGAGGGAUUGAGUGUUUCAAGAAAGAAGAUGUAGCUGACAGUGUCAAAUACUGCAGAGAUGUCAACUAAAGUAGUCUGAAUAUAUCCAGGGACUUUAAAAGAAAUAAGCCCUAGCUCGUGGAAAAGUAGCUCUGAAGAAAGCAAGUAGCCCUGUAGAGAAGUCCGUGUGGCACGGAAAUGAUGCUUCAGACCAACAACCUUAAGAGAAGACCUUAAGCCUGACAACAGCUAUAUGUGAGUGACCCUACAAGUGGACAUUCUGCAAAUCAAGUUUUGAGAUGACUACAACCCCAGCCAAUCCCUUGAUUGCAGCUUUGUGAGAGACCCUGGGAGACAGGUAGUUAAGUUCUAUAUGGAUUUUGGAUCCACAAACACUAUAAAAUUGCUGGUGUUGCUUUCCUUCUUUGUGUUGCAGUAUUUUUUAAUAGAUUCAAUGUUGGGGUGACUUUGUCUCUACUUACAUCUCUCUGAAAGUGUGCAAAUUAAUCAGCAACUGGUAUUUACUUGCGAAAGAGUAGGUAUAUUCCAUUUAUAUCUAUAAUCUGUUACACCUGAGUAUAAAUUUUCUGUUCUCUUUCAAACUUGAGUUGGAGAGCUGGCUGUUAAGGUUUCACCUAUCCAGUAACCUGAAGGAGAUAAAGAAGAAACUAAGACCACCAGCAGCCACAGUUAUGGAAUUUUAUAUCUGCAUAUUCUUUGUCUCUACGUUUGUUAAAAUUCUAUCUGAAAGUUAUGUUUAACCUACUGAAUUGGGAGCAUUUACCACCUAAUUAAGGUUUCUAAUAAAUUUGAUUUCCCACCUUGGGACAAACUCCCAAUUUCAAUAAAAAGUUUAUUUUGAAAAGUGUGGAUUCUAUUAAUUUCAUGUGACUACACAUCUUGUCC